rnacentral:rRNA from 1 species
AGUGAACGCUGGCGGUAGACCUAACACAUGCAAGUCGAACGGCAGCACAGUAAGAGCUUGCUCUUACGGGUGGCGAGUGGCGGACGGGUGAGGAAUACAUCGGAAUCUACUUUUUCGUGGGGGAUAACGUAGGGAAACUUACGCUAAUACCGCAUACGACCUACGGGUGAAAGCAGGGGAUCUUCGGACCUUGCGCGAUUGAAUGAGCCGAUGUCGGAUUAGCUAGUUGGCGGGGUAAAGGCCCACCAAGGCGACGAUCCGUAGCUGGUCUGAGAGGAUGAUCAGCCACACUGGAACUGAGACACGGUCCAGACUCCUACGGGAGGCAGCAGUGGGGAAUAUUGGACAAUGGGCCCAAGCCUGAUCCAGCCAUACCGCGUGGGUGAAGAAGGCCUUCGGGUUGUAAAGCCCUUUUGUUGGGAAAGAAAAGCAGCAGGUUAAUACCCCGCUGUUCUGACGUUACCCAAAGAAUAAGCACCGGCUAACUUCGUG